rnacentral:rRNA from 1 species
AGUGAACGCUGGCGGUAGGCCUAACACAUGCAAGUCGAACGGCAGCACAGUAAGAGCUUGCGCUUACGGGUGGCGAGUGGCGGACGGGUGAGGAAUACAUCGGAAUCUACUUUGUCGUGGGGGAUAACGUAGGGAAACUUACGCUAAUACCGCAUACGACCUACGGGUGAAAGCAGGGGAUCUUCGGACCUUGCGCGAUUGAAUGAGCCGAUGUCGGAUUAGCUAGUUGGCGGGGUAAAGGCCCACCAAGGCGACGAUCCGUAGCUGGUCUGAGAGGAUGAUCCGCCACACUGGAACUGAGACACGGUCCAGACUCCUACGGGAGGCAGCAGUGGGGAAUCUUGGACAAUGGGCGCAAGCCUAAUCCAGCCAUACCGCGUGGGUGAAGAAGGCCUUCGGGUUGUAAAGCCCUUUUGUUGGGAAAGAAAAGCAGCAGGUUAAUCCCCCGCUGUUCUGACGGUACCCAAAGAAUAAGCACCGGCUAACUUCGUG